UCAGCAAUGGCCGGAGCGCGGUUGAACUUUUGUAAAUUUGGACGACUAGAGGAAGAAGAAGUCGUAACAAGGUUUCCGUAGGUGAACCUGCGGAAGGAUCAUUAGCGUUAAUUGGUCUUGGUGCCAUGCGAAAAACAUGUGGAUUGUGGGCUAUGUG
rnacentral:rRNA from 1 species